AGAUUAUGUUGAGGUCAAUCUCUUAACAAUCCUUUGUAUCUCUCCUUAGCUUCAUAUAAGGACUCACCAUCAUUCUGUUGGAAAUUAGAAAUCUUUUUUUUUGAGUUU